UACGUAGGGGGCUAGCGUUGUCCGGAAUUAUUGGGCGUAAAGGGCUCGUAGGCGGUUUGUCGCGUCGGGAGUGAAAUCCACUGGCUUAACUGGUGGCUUGCUUUCGAUACGGGCAGACUGGAGGUAUGCAGGGGAGAACGGAAUUCCUGGUGUAGCGGUGAAAUGCGCAGAUAUCAGGAGGAACACCGGUGGCGAAGGCGGUUCUCUGGGCCUGUACUGACGCUGAGGAGCGAAAGCGUGGGGAGCGAACAGG
rnacentral:rRNA from 1 species